AGAGUUUGAUCCUGGCUCAGAAUCAACGCUGGCGGCGUACCUAACACAUGCAAGUCGAACGAGAAAGGGUAGCAAUACCUGAGUAAAGUGGCGACCGGGUGAGUAACACGUGACUAACAUACCCUUGAGUGGGGAAUAACCUUCCGAAAGGAGGGCUAAUACCGCAUAAAGUCCAGAGGCUGAAAUGCCAUUGGACCAAAGGAGCAAUUCGCUUAGGGAGUGGGUCGCGGUUGAUUAGCUAGUUGGUGGGGUAAUGGCCUACCAAGGCGAUGAUCAAUAGCCGGCCUGAGAGGGCGCACGGCCACACUGGAACUGAAACACGGUCCAGACUCCUACGGGAGGCAGCAGUGGGGAAUUUUGCGCAAUGGGGGAAACCCUGACGCAGCAACGCCGCGUGAAGGAUGAAGGUCUUUGGAUUGUAAACUUCUUUCGUCCGGGAAGAUAAUGACGGUACCGGAAUAAGAAGCCCCGGCUAACUUCGUGCCAGCAGCCGCGGUAAUACGAAGGGGGCGAGCGUUGUUCGGAAUUAUUGGGCGUAAAGGGAGCGUAGGCGGUUCGAUAAGUCACUUGUGAAAUCUCUGGGCUCAACUCAGAGUCUGCAAGCGAAACUGUCGGGCUUGAGUAUGGGAGAGGUGAGUGGAAUUCCUGGUGUAGCGGUGAAAUGCGUAGAUAUCAGGAGGAACACCUGUGGCGAAAGCGGCUCACUGGACCAUUACUGACGCUGAUGCUCGAAAGCUAGGGGAGCAAACAGGAUUAGAUACCCUGGUAGUCCUAGCCCUAAACGAUGAUUGCUUGGUGUGGUGGGUACCCAAUCCCACUGUGCCGAAGCUAACGCGAUAAGCAAUCCGCCUGGGGAGUACGGUCGCAAGGCUGAAACUCAAAGGAAUUGGCGGGGGCCCGCACAAGCGGUGGAGCAUGUGGUUCAAUUCGACGCAACGCGAAGAACCUUACCUGGGCUCGAAAUGUAGUGGACCGGGGUGGAAACAUCCCUUUCUCGCAAGAGACUGCUAUAUAGGUGCUGCAUGGCUGUCGUCAGCUCGGU
rnacentral:rRNA from 1 species